rnacentral:rRNA from 1 species
GACGAACGCUGGCGGCGUGCUUAACACAUGCAAGUCGAACGAUGAAGCCGGAGCUUGCUCCGGUGAAUUAGUGGCGAACGGGUGGGUAACACGUGAGUAACCUGCCCUUGACUCUGGGAUAACUGCGGGAAACUGUAGCUAAUACCGGAUACGACCCUCGGAGGCAUCUCCUGGGGGUGGAAAGAAUUUCGGUCAAGGAUGGACUCGCGGCCUAUCAGCUAGUUGGUGAGGUAAAGGCUCACCAAGGCGACGACGGGUAGCCGGCCUGAGAGGGUGACCGGCCACACUGGGACUGAGACACGGCCCAGACUCCUACGGGAGGCAGCAGUGGGGAAUAUUGCACAAUGGGCGCAAGCCUGAUGCAGCAACGCCGCGUGAGGGAUGACGGCCUUCGGGUUGUAAACCUCUUUUAGCAGGGAAGAAGCGAAAGUGACGGUACCUGCAGAAAAAGCACCGGCUAACUACGUGCCAGCAGCCGCAGUAA